UCCAGACUCCUCGGGAGGCAGCAGUGGGGGAUAUUGCACGAUGGGGGGAACCCUGAUGCAGCGACGCCGCGUGAGCGAUGAAGUAUUUCGGUAUGUAAAGCUCUAUCAGCAGGGAAGAAAAUGACGGUACCUGACUAAGAAGCCCCGGCUAACUACGUGCCAGCAGCCGCGGUAAUACGUAGGGGGCAAGCGUUAUCCGGAUUUACUGGGUGUAAAGGGAGCGUAGACGGCUGUGCAAGUCUGAAGUGAAAGGCACGGGCUCAACCUUUGGACUGCUUUGGAAACUGUGCAGCUAGAGUGUCGGAGAGGCAAGUGGAAUUCCUAGUGUAGCGGUGAAAUGCGUAGAUAUUAGGAGGAACACCAGUGGCGAAGGCGGCCUGCUGGACGAUGACUGACGUUGAGGCUCGAAAGCGUGGGGAGCAAACAGGAUUAGAUACCCCUGUA
rnacentral:rRNA from 1 species